rnacentral:lncRNA from 1 species
CAUGUCUGCCUCUUGAACAAAUAUCAAUUGCGGGGACACAUACUGAUUGCUUUCUCCCAUCAUCAAUACAUAUGCUGAACUCCUUAAAAAUGAAUAAAGUUGAUAUUUGGCGACCUUAAGAGUAGACUCCUUACUUUAGAGAGCAAUGAUGAAGACAUUUUUUUUUAUAGUUUUGGCCUUGGGCAUAGAGUUAACUACAGCCUUAUAUUUGUUGUGAAUAGUUGGCAAGUUUGGCUGAGGGAAUCAUUUAAGAACGGCUGCCCUGAGUCUGCUAUCAUGGGGCCUACUGUAACAUAUAUUGCCUUUAAGGUAGAGUUAUAUUUUUAAACUUUCCACCCAAGACCAAUACAAAUGAUGAGUUUAUUUGGGAAGUUCUUUUAGAAUGCAGAUUUUUUUCCUUCAAGUUUUCUCCCCCUCACCCCCUUUUUUAUUUUUACAGUUUCACUAUGAUAUGUAUUUGUUAGUUUUCCAUGUGUUUAUUGGUGACUAAGGUAAAGUAUUUGUCUGAUUUAGGCUCUCAGAGGCCCUAAGUAUUUCAUGCAGAUUCCUAUUGGCAGUCUAAAACGAAGAUGACGAAAGGGAGCUAACUUGAGCUAUUAUCCAACAGCAAUGCGCUCUAAUGACUGAGUAUCGGUGAGAAAGUUUGAUUAAUUUGUAUUUGAUCUGUGUUGCCUGUUAUGGAUUUGGCAAAUGGGUUGCCGGUGAACUGAGUGCUGUGGCGGAACAGCGAGCGAACAGCAGGAAAGUAGCCAUUGGCUCAGUUAAAAGCAAGGACUCUGAGACCAGCUGGUUCGAAGCUGGGCCCUCCCACUUCCCAGCUGUGCGACCUCGGGCCAGCAACCUCUCUGCUGCUCAGUUUCCUCAUCCGGUUGUUACGAGGAUUAAAUGAUUAAUACUUCCUAAAUGCGUAGAACAAAAUAGUACGCCUCACGCGUUAGAGUAUGAGGCUUCCACUCAGGGCCUGCCUUCACCAUGAACCCCUCACACCCAGUAUCCGCUCGCUUCCGGAUCCUUGGAUCCUGGGACAGCAGCCUCCGCCAGGCCUCAAGACUUCUGCCUCUGAUGGCUCCCGGGAUCCGCUCACAUC